UGCAUUAUAAAAUCUUUCACCAAAUAUUCAAGGUCAAUAAACCACUCCAUAAUCCAUAUACUCCGUGGUUAAGAAAGAUCAAAGUCAACCAUCCAGUGCUACACAAGGGGCACCAUUUCUUGACUGCUGACCCUUUCAUUUCAAAGGAAACAAAGAGGCUAUUAAGAAAGACAAUUUGUGAUAUAUAUUACUCACACCUGCACACUUGGCACACAUAUUGUACAAACUAACAAAUGCAAACAGUUUCCUCCAAGAAAAUGAUGGGAAGGCUUCAAACUCCUGCAAAUGUAUCAUCAGUUACUGAUCAUUACAAGGCGGAGAGGUUUCAUGAUCAGAGAAAGCAUUCGAUGGGAGCACCAAGGCGCCAUCAACACACAAGUCUGCGGUCCAUGACUCUCCACAACCACCGUGAGGUGCCACCUAGGGAUAAAUUGAGAGGGCGUAGAGCGGGGAAAGAGGUGGCAAGAAGGGCACUGAUGCCACCAAUCAGGAAGCUCAACAUGAGGUGGCGGAACUUCCAGCCAACCCCCAGUCGCCUUUCUAAUAUGUCCAUGACUUGAAUUUGAUCUCGUCUCUAAGGUAGAUUGUUUCAGAUAAUUUUUGAUGAUUUGAAUCUCAUGUAAAUACAAUGAUGUGAUCUUGCAUAUCAUCAGCAGUCAUGCUUAUUUUUAAGCUUCUAAAUCUCAGGAGUCAACUGUAUUUCGCUUUUGUUCAAGCUCAACCUAUUUUGUGCCUCUGUAGGGAUGACUUGCUUGUUUAAUUUUUCCUACAAUAAUAUUUCUGGGAAAUCCGUAUUUCAAUUUAAAGAUUGUUAUCUACUCGGUACUAAGAAACCCUAGAAGGACAGGCUAUAAAUAUUAGACAAUGCUGCGGAGAACCUCAAACUUAAUACAAAUAUUUCAUAUUAUUUAGCAAUCACAAGUUUAUAGCAGUAAAGUCAUCAAGAGCAGUAUCUUGUUAGAUCCUCCGAAAAAAUGGCUAAGCAUAAAAAUAGCAAGGACUCAAUAUAUCACCAACUUAGUGCAGCUGCACGAUUGUUUUUUUACCUCUGUAAUAGUAUGAUUUCCUGGAAAAAAGUUGAGCAAGAGAGAAACAGAGCUUGACAGUCUAAGAGCAAUGGACAAUUGUGCUGAUGUCUCUUUAGAUGUAGAGAGAAUUGAAAAAAUUAAGAGAACCCUGUCCACAUGGCCGCAGAAUCAACUUUCUGGCAAUACGAGAUGGUCAAGUCCUUCCACUAGCUUUGCAGAUUGGAUCACAUCACCACUUUUGAUCUCAGAAAGGAUGUCUUUCCCAGCAACUGUGUAGCUGAAUAAAGAAAUAAUUGCUAAAAAGUGGUUUAAAAGUAGGCAAAAUUAAAGAGGCCGCUCAAUUAUGGCUUAACUACGAGAAAAUCAAUUGAUAAUGCAGAGCAAACGCUGGGGGAUUUCAUGACUUACCCAAACACAGAAAAUUGGCCCUCGUCAAAAGAGAGUCCUCCUAAGCCAGACUGUUUCAUACAAAUGCUAGUUUAGAACAGUUACGUGGUCAAAAGUGUAGCAUACAUUUAAGAUGGACCAUGUAUAUCUAUGGUUCACUUCAGAAGUACAGUACAUUAAAAUAAAUUAAAAAUAUUUUGUCUGAUGAUACUCACAAAACUCUUAUCAUAGCGAUAGAAGAAGAAUUGAUUUGGUGAGGAAUACUCAUCAGAAACAUCACUAUGAGCCAUCACAACCGCACCAUAAACUGAAAGUGGCAGCACAGGUAACUCCCCAUCCUUAAAGAAAAACAAAUAGUUAUCCGAAUUAGUAUAAUGUUAUCCUUCUCUGGAAAGUGGCACCAAGAAUCAUUAUACCUGGACGCUUAAAGUUGUUUUGUAAAGUGGCUCAAAUUGUCCUGCUGGCAUAAUCUCUAACGGAGCACUGUAACCAAUAUUUUUGUCUAGCUCGCUAUCAGAUAAUAUUGCUUGAUCAGUAGAUUUAAGCUUCCCCCCAUCGUAUGCCCCAUCAACUACCUAAACCACAAUUGAGUAACUGUUGAUUAGUCAGCAAGUAUCUGCCACCAACCGUAUCCUCGUAGUCAAAUAAAGGGACCUGAUUGCUGAAAUAUUGGAAGAUUAGAUUGUGCACGAGACUACAGCAUACAGUUUAGGAAUUCUUAUCGUCCAGUUCACAUGAAGGAGGUUUAUCUUGAGCUUUAUGAUUUCUGGUUGUACAAGAGAGUUCCAGACAACUAUGUCAUUGACAUAUCAGAAAAAUUAAAUACCUAUACAAUACUCUGGCCAGAGGAAUUAGGGUGAAAGAUCUAAGCAAAUAAUUACAAUACCACACAUCUAAAGAAGGGUCAAGUGUGAGGAAGCCACUAUAUUUGGGCCCGGAGGUAAUCUGUUGACCAUCUGUAAAACAGUUAUAGUGGAUGUAUACAGAUUAAUUAUAUAAAAAAUCGACAAGGAUGAAGUAAGAACUUACUACCUUACCAGUUUGGCAAAGUUCCCCGCUGUAAGUGGUGCUGAAUAUCCAUCUAUAACGACCUGAAGGCAGGUAUAGUAUCAGUAAGUGUACAAAUAUCCUCCAGUGCUGGCAUAACCUUUCUCAUCAUUAUUAUAUUUUAAUAAUAGAGAUAUCAUCCUCGCCGUUUCCUCUUAAACAACAUGGUUCACUGGACGGACAUUAUGCUUGGUACAAUGACAAGUAUUGCAAUCGUGACAUAUAUUGAUUUUAACGAAGGAAGAUUCUUUAAACCUGAAUUUUGGCAGUCUUCCGUAAUUCACCGCCAGCUGGUGAAAAUGUCGAACCAUCUGCUUUUGCAAUUACAAAUUCAACGGUUCCUCUUCCUGUAAACCUGUAAAUUCAAUAAAUAUCAGCACCCAAUAUAUAAAUGAGGUUUUUGCUUCUAACGUCAACUCCAAAAGCACAAUCGGUGGCAUAGAGUGACGAUAUCAUCACUGGCUCACAGCGCUAGGAAGUCAGAGUACAAAUCACCUGCACUUCCCGAACCUAGCCUUUAGUACCAUGUUCAAAUAUUUGGAGUUACCAGACAAUCAUAAUUAGUUGAUUACAACAGAAGGAAGAGAUUAAUAGAUUUUAUACAUUAAUACUGAUCCCCAUCUCUAAACCUCUAGAAGGAAGUAGGAGAAAGCUUACAUUUGAAUAAUUUUUUUUUAAGGAGCACAGAAUAUGAUUUAUUUUGUGUUUGAAUCUGCUAAGGUCUGGGUUUUUUUUUUUAAUUUCCCAUCCAUUGCCUUUGCCCCAGAAGAUUAUAAAAAAGAAAACAAACAGAACCUGGGGAGGGGGGGUGGUUGUAUCAAGUACAAAUCUUUAAACACCUUUACCUUGGAUAUUUCAAGUACUGCGCCGGCAACAAAAAUGACAGUCCCGGAGCCUGUGAAAACCAAAAUCUUUUGCGAUAAGUAAAUAUUUAAGGGUAUAAAUAUGUGUGAAUCCAUCAAGUUCUAAUGGAUUUUGAAGAUAUGAACAAGUAGCCUGAAGAACAUUCAUUUAUUACACAGAGAUCUGAAACUAAAAUGAAAUAAUUGUCUUAUAGUUUUCACUUGCUCUGUAUGUCCAUUACUCUAUUACAUAUACAGUUAUACACAAUACGUACAUCUUACUGAGUAACUGACUGAAGCACUACUAAAUAGUGCCAGGAUGUUAAUAACAGCUCAGCCUCUAUUCAGACUAACAUAUACAAUUUAUUUAAACAUUCACAUCAGGUAACAAUAUGACUAGUAUAAAACACUAAAAGCUCCUUGUGUCAUUGCCACUAAUGUAAAGCAGCUCUAAGGCCAUUAGAAUAUAUAUAAGAACUAAAGAAUCUGAAUUUAGAUAUAGGAGAUCUAGAACAGCAGUGCCCGACAUCUUUAAACCAGAGCUACAUCAAAUUCACCUUACAAUCUUAAGCAACUCGAGGGUCCUUAAUAUGUCUAUUCAAAAUUGCGGACAAUCCAGUAUCUAUUGAAAUAUCAUAAUCACCUGUAACAACUCCAGUUCUGCAACAGUGUCCAGUGAAGAUGCUAGACCUACCGAUACUCGAUCUGGAUCUUUAUCUUUUAUAUAUCCAAGAAGGCUUUGCAAUCCACCCUGAACAAGGAAGACAAGUUAAAAUAUUUUUCCCUGCUUAUUAACUAAGAAAUUUAAGUUAACCGAACUGUUUUCCCUCACAGAAGUUAUAAGAUGAUGAAAUCUUAAAUCUUAUAAAGCCAAAGUGUAGAGAUACUGGUUUUUAGUUGUUUCAUGAGGAGAACAAAAGUAACCAAGACUCCUUUGCUAAUUAUGUGGCAGAGAACCAUUAGUUCCAUUGUGAUUAAAAACACUAAGAUUUAUCAUACAAAACUAAUUUAAAGAAUAAAAAAAUAACCCGCUUCAUCUAGCUUCUCCUAAGGGGAUCUUUAUGAUUUAAAAUUAAAGGUUCCAAACUUUAGGAGAAUAUCCCUUUUUUCUAUGAAAUACCUUCCCCUCUACCAGAGAUGUGUACAACUCCAAACCCUUAUCCUUGAAAUCAGCCGGAACACUAGCCAAAAUGGAUUCUUUUUCAUCCUUUGCAAUCUGACAUAAAAAGAGGCAAGAUGAAUAAAACAAAUAAGGAUCACUGACCCAGCUUAUAUGUUGGCUACAUUAGCAGAAGCAGAAUUCCUGUAGUGCAUCUGGUUCCAAAUUAAAAUAAAUAUCAAUUUCUUGUUUAAAUCGGUUUUUAAAGUUCGGGUAUGCUUUAUUUAAGGCAUUCCAACCAAUUAUAAUACGUUUCUUUACCAUAAGUUAGAAAUCCGAAGUUGGAGUACCUUUAAAGCUUUUUUUACAUUACCCUCCAUUGUUCCAAAUGGCUUCCUCUGUGGUAUUCUCAGCAAAUAAGAGAUGUCCUCUAAGGAAUCCUAGAAAAAUAAGGGAAUGUUCACAAUAUUUCAAAUGUAAUGACUUGAAAUUUUGUACCUAAUUUUUUUACUCACCUGUAUUGUCUUCAUGUUGGUGUUUGCAGGGAUAGCCUUUCUUAAAGCUAGUUCCCCAGUUCUAGGGAGUUUGGUCUCCG
rnacentral:lncRNA from 1 species